rnacentral:rRNA from 1 species
AUGGCAUGGACGCGCUACCACGCCUCCUCGACGCAUCCCCCGGCCAUCCCUGCUUGUCGUCGUCCCGAAUCUAGCCCCGACGACGCCCCCCUUCCUCCAUGGGUCCUACUCGACGACCGCGCAUACCUCGCCGGCGAAUCCAACCACACCACAGCCGUCUCCCGCACAAGGCACGGCGACCAGAUCCAAGCCACCUUCUUCCUCGCCGACCCGCCGCUCGUCUCCCACUUCGCCGUCUCCUGCGCCGCCGAGCUUGGCUGCGAGCCCAGGAUCCUCUACACGGAGGCCAACCUCGUCCUCCUCGUCUCGGUGCCCGGCGACCCCCGCAACGCCAUCGACCCCCGGAAGAACGACUUCUACGUCUACGAGGUGGACGACGACGCCGGCCCUCCCAAGGCCACACUGACGCUGCUUCCGCACCCCCCGCCCGACUUGUUCCCCUUCCCUCGGGACAGAUGCUACUACUUCCAUGACCGCCAGGUAGGACUCCUGCGCCACCGCAGGAACUCCGACAACGGCGGCGGCGGCGGCUUUUAUCUUCUCCAGCACCGUCCCAGAGCCUAUGACGCCUACAUCGUUGCCGCGCUCUGUACACGGCUAACCUUCCCGGAGACGUUAGGCCUUUACACCUACGUCUCCGACACCGAGGUGUGGAGCAGCAAACCAGCCUCAUUCCCAGACGGCGGCAAACUGCCCCGAGCCGCCCUUCGAUGUGACAAGGUUAUCACCAUCGGAGGAGAAGCCGGCACCAUGGCCUGGGUCGAUCUCAUGCGGGGUAUCAUCCUAUGUGAUGUGCUCCCACUCGACGACGACGCCAAGACGCUUCGCUACAUCCCUCUGCCGGACCCCAUCCGGCCAGACGACACCAUCGACGAAUCUGGAGGCAUGUACCGGGACGUCGCCGUCGUCGGCAGCCGCAUCAAGUAUGCUGAGGUGAAGAUGCACGUCAGGCCGGGCUCGGCCGGCCCGAAAGGCUCCUUCACCAUCGAUGGCUGGACCGCCGUCGUAUGGAGCAGGCCGGCCAAUUCCUUCAAGGAGUCAACCACCUGGCGCAAGGACCAUGAGGUCCAUGCUCACGAGGUCUCUUUCGUUGACGGCAAAAACAAGACGGCGCCAGGCUUUGAGUUGCUCCCGGCUGUGGUGGAUCACCAAGGCAACCCGCAGCCGACCUUGGUGGGGAUCCACGUUGGCCAUCCCAAGCUCAGCCUGCACGUCGGUGACAACACCCUUUACUUGAUGGCCAAGGUCAACCGCUGGUACGACAAAGCAUGGGUGAUCGCUGUCGACAUGAAGAACAAGAGGCUGCGGGCAGUGGCCGAGUUUGGUGGAGCACCAAGGUGCAUGGCGUUUCUCCAUGCCUAUAGGCAAAGCAGGAUCUCGGAGCAUCUCAAUGUCUCCCAAGGUACAAAGAGUCACCUGAAACGACCAGGGAUGCCACUGCCACAUGGAAGCUCUCACAAGAAGCCAGAGAUCCCUCCGCAUCAUGUGAUGCAUCACUGUCCCAGUGGACAAAACCCCAGGGCGACAUGGCCCACAUUUCCCGCACAGACUACUGAUGAUGAGGAUUAUGAUGAUGAUGAACGGACAAGGAUGGCAGACGACAUGGACUUGGAAUAA